rnacentral:rRNA from 1 species
CCUACGGGUGACAGCAGUGAGGAAUAUUGGUCAAUGGACGAGAGUCUGAACCAGCCAAGUAGCGUGAAGGAUGACUGCCCUAUGGGUUGUAAACUUCUUUUAUAUGGGAAUAAAACGUUCCACGUGUGGGAUUUUGUAUGUACCAUAUGAAUAAGGAUCGGCUAAUUCCGUGCCAGCAGCCGCGGUAAUACGGAGGAUCCGAGCGUUAUCCGGAUUUAUUGGGUUUAAAGGGAGCGUAAGUGGAUCGUUAAGUCAGUUGUGAAAGUUUGGGGCUCAACCGUAACAUUGCAGUUGAAACUGGCAGUCUUGAGUACAGUAGAGGUGGGCGGAAUUCGUGGUGUAGCGGUGAAAUGCUUAGAUAUCACGAAGAACUCCGAUUGCGAAGGCAGUUCACUGGACUGCAACUGACACUGAGGCUCGAAAGUGUGGGUAUCAAACAGGAUUAGAUACCCCUGUAGUC